AAUAGCCUAACGGCUGAACCAGCAACUUGGAAGAAUGUAUAGCUAAGCUAAAUGAUUUUUUUUAUAAAAAACAUAUUCGAUUUAUUCGUAUAAAGUUCUAGGUAGAGUUAUGAUAAUGACAUUAUCUAUCUAUAAGUCUUGACCAACAUGCGUGCCAGCAGUCGCGGCAAGACGCUAAAGACUAGUGUUAUUCAUUUUAAUAGGUUUAAAGGGUACCUAGACGGUAAAUUAAGCCUUAAUAGGAACUAAUUUAACUAGAGUUAAAUGUAAGGGUGCAUUAACGUACUAUUGAGUGUAGAGAUGAAAUUCUGUCAUACCAGAUUGCUGGCACGGGUUUAGGCGAAAGCAUCACUUUAUGUAAUAACUGACGUUGAGGGACGAAGGCUUUGUAUCGCUAAAAGGAUUAGUUACCCUCGUAGUCUAAGCAGACAAUGAUGAAUGUCAUAGGUUAAAUAUUGUUUGGUCUAUAAAUGAAAGUGUAAGCAUUCCACCUCAAGAGUAAUUUGGCAACAUUGGAAUUGAAAUCAUUAGACCGUUUCUGAAACAAGUAGUGAAGUAUGUUGUUUAAUUAGAUAAUCCACAAAGAACCUUACCACAACUUGAAUAUUUUACAAGCGUUGCACGGCUGUCUUCAGUUAAUGUCGUGAGAUUUUGGUUAGUUCCAUAAAAUUAACGUAAACCCUUACUUUAUUUUUUUACAUAAAGUAGUUCGCCGUUAUAUUGGUUAGAUAAAAGGGACUAAG
rnacentral:rRNA from 1 species